GCGGCCAAUCCGACUGUUCCGUUUCGCCGCCUCGUGCUACCCCGGCCGCCUCGAACGCUGACAUUUAAAAGGGUAACAGCCGGGAGGCUGGAAGGGGGCCGCUGCCCAGCCUCGGGAGCGCCUCUCGGUCCGGGAGCCGCGCCGGGGCCUCCGCGCCCGCGGUCCCGCCCGCGGAGCCGGGGGACACGCCUUCCCCGGGCACUGGCGCGCGCGCUCGUGACAAAAGAAAACUUCAGGUGCGGUUCUCCAGCUUGCAAACAGUUAAGUGACUUCCUGCAAACGCUAGAGUCCCAGCAACCGGCCUUCCAAUCAAAAGUAAUUCGGGGAUGCAGCAUACUUGGAGGCAGAUUUUUAAUAAUCAUUCGAUCUAGUGCACAAAUUGACUAUGAGUAAUUCAUCUUAAAACCAAAGUCUUUUUUACUGGCUCACUGUUCCUACCUGGAACACCCCAUCUUUGCUUCUGUGAUGCCUUUUCAUUCCUCUCCUUCCCAAUGCAAUCUACUCUAGGUGACACCAUGGCCUCUACUCCCUUGGGACUUGGACACCAGCCAUGUUGCCAUGUUGAUUCUAGUCUGUCAAGUGGGCCAAGAUGGCUGCAGCUUCCUUGGUCUAGGGCUGUGUCGGACAGUUAGCAUAUGGGGAACUCGUGAAGGACUCCAAGACUACAGCUUUCUGAGGCCCAGCCUCCUGAAACGGAAAAUACCAACAAUGGAAAACACCAGGAUUCUGUAUUUAACAAAAUCACCGCAGGUCGCCUGGUGCUGGUUUAGAAACCAUGGCUUAGGUGGAACCCCUCCAAGAGCACGGAGCAGGAGGCACGCUCGGCAGCUGCUGAGGAGACAGAUGUGCACUGUAAAUAAAUGGGCCACGGAGGAGAAAAGCGACCCCCUUCAGAGCAGUUGAGCUGGGGGGAGGUGCUGGGAAAGACUGGAGUCUGUUUUUGCCAGUAAGUCCUUGAGUUUAGGUAUGGAAGCUGGAAAAAGCCCCGACUGGAGCAGGCUCAGCGUGAGUCAGCUGUGUGACCUUGGGCAAGCCGUGCCCCAUCUCCUGGCCUCAGUUUCCCAUCUGUAAAAUGGGAGUGCAGGCUGGUUGAUCUCUAAGGUGUUUCUACGACACCUGGGCACUUCCCUACCAUCCUUUUUGAUGGGGACGUGCUGCAAUUCUAAGUGUGCUCCUUUAUCUUAAUGUUUUCAUAGAAUGCUUUACAGACCCAGUGCUUGUCGUGUGGAACCUGUUCUAGUCACAUCCUCCCCCACCCCGCCCUCGAGCUGUGUGACUGCCCACAGCGCUCAGAGCAUUCCGAGAAGAUUUUUGAGCUGGAAAAGCAACUUCCAAGAAGGUGAGAUCUAGGGAAGAGAGAAGUCUAGAUGGCAGAGGCUUGCGGAAGGAGAGGUGGUUUGGUUUGUCUCCUACCGGACAUCUCUGUUCCAGGUGAGGGUAAUUCUACCUGCUGCCUGCUACUGCGGAAGGUGACCAGAGAAGGCUCCUUCGCUGGCAAAGACAGAAGGUUUUCCAGUGACCGUGCUCACCUGGCC